rnacentral:rRNA from 1 species
AUUGAACGCUGGCGGCAGGCCUAACACAUGCAAGUAGAGCGGAGCGGCGGACGGGUGAGUAAUGCCUAGGAAUCUGCCCGGUAGUGGGGGAUAACGUCCGGAAAAGGGCGCUAAUACCGCAUACCAUCAGAUGUGCUCAGAUGGGCAUCGCUGGUUGGUGGGGUAAAGGCUCACCAGGGCGACGACCCCGAGCUGGUCUGAGAGGAUGACCAGCAACACGGGAACGGAGACACGGUCCAGACUCCAACGGGAGGAGGCAGAGGGGAAUAUUGCACAAUGGGGGCAAGCCGGAUGCAGCAAUGCCGCGUGUAUGAAGAGGGCCGUCGGGUUGUAAAGUACUUUGAGCGGGGAGGCGUUACCCACAGAAGAAGCACCGGCUAACUCCGUGCCAGCAGCCGCGGUAAUUC